GGCAGCAGUAGGGAAUCUUCCGCAAUGGACGAAAGUCUGACGGAGCAACGCCGCGUGAGUGAUGAAGGUUUUCGGAUCGUAAAGCUCUGUUGUUAGGGAAGAACAAGUACCGUUCGAAUAGGGCGGUACCUUGACGGUACCUAACCAGAAAGCCACGGCUAACUACGUGCCAGCAGCCGCGGUAAUACGUAGGUGGCAAGCGUUGUCCGGAAUUAUUGGGCGUAAAGGGCUCGCAGGCGGUUUCUUAAGUCUGAUGCGAAAGCCCCCGGCUCAACCGGGGAGGGUCAUUGGAAACUGGGGAACUUGAGUGCAGAAGAGGAGAGUGGAAUUCCACGUGUAGCGGUGAAAUGCGUAGAGAUGUGGAGGAACACCAGUGGCGAAGGCGACUCUCUGGUCUGUAACUGACGCUGAGGAGCGAAAGCGUGGGGAGCGAACAGGAUUAGAUACCCUGGUAGUCCACGCCGUAAACGAUGAGUGCUAAGUGUUAGGGGGUUUCCGCCCCUUAGUGCUGCAGCUAACGCAUUAAGCACUCCGCCUGGGGAGUACGGUCGCAAGACUGAAACUCAAAGGAAUUGACGG
rnacentral:rRNA from 1 species